rnacentral:rRNA from 1 species
GACGAACGCUGGCGGCGUGCCUAAUACAUGCAAGUCGAGCGAAGUUUUUCUGGUGCUUGCACUAGAAAAACUUUGCGGCGAACGGGUGAGUAACACGUAAAGAACCUGCCUCAUAGACUGGGACAACUAUUGGAAACGAUAGCUAAUACCGGAUAACAGUAUUUCUCGCAUGAGAGAUAUUUAAAAGUUGGUUAUGCUAACACUAUGAGAUGGCUUUGCGGUGCAUUAGCUAGUUGGUGGGGUAAAGGCCCACCAAGGCGACGAUGCAUAGCCGACCUGAGAGGGUGAUCGGCCACACUGGGACUGAGACACGGCCCAGACUCCUACGGGAGGCAGCAGUAGGGAAUCUUCCGCAAUGGGCGAAAGCCUGACGGAGCAACGCCGCGUGAGUGAAGAAGGAUUUCGGUUCGUAAAGCUCUGUUGUUAGGGAAGAAUGGAUAUGUAGUAACUAUACAUGUAAGAGACGGUACCUAACCAGAAAGCCACGGCUAACUACGUG